rnacentral:rRNA from 1 species
AUGCUUAACACAUGCAAGUCGAACGGAAUCCUUAGGGAUUUAGUGGCGGACGGGUGAGUAACGCGUGAGAAUCUGCCUUCAGGUUCGGGACAACAGUUGGAAACGACUGCUAAUACCGGAUGUGCCGAGAGGUGAAAGGCUUGCUGCCUGAAGAUGAGCUCGCGUCUGAUUAGCUAGUUGGUGGUGUAAGGGACUACCAAGGCGACGAUCAGUAGCUGGUCUGAGAGGAUGAUCAGCCACACUGGGACUGAGACACGGCCCAGACUCCUACGGGAGGCAGCAGUGGGGAAUUUUCCGCAAUGGGCGAAAGCCUGACGGAGCAAUACCGCGUGAGGGAGGAAGGCUCUUGGGUUGUAAACCUCUUUUCUUAGGGAAUAAUUCAAUGAAGGUACCUAAGGAAUAAGCAUCGGCUAACUCCGUGCCAGCAGCCGCGGUAGUACGGAGGAUGCAAGCGUUAUCCGGAAUGAUUGGGCGUAAAGCGUCCGCAGGUGGUUUGUCAAGUCUGCUGUCAAAGAAUGAGGCUUAACCUCAUCAAGGCAGUGGAAACUGAGAGACUAGAGUGCGUUCGGGGCAGAAGGAAUACCUGGUGUAGCGGUGAAAUGCGUAGAGAUCAGGAAGAACACCGGUGGCGAAAGCGUUCUGCUAGGCCGCAACUGACACUGAGGGACGAAAGCUAGGGGAGCGAAUGGGAUUAGAUACCCCAGUAGUCCUAGCCGUAAACGAUGGAUACUAGGCGUUGUCUGUAUCGACCCGGACGGUGCCGUAGCUAACGCGUUAAGUAUCCCGCCUGGGGAGUACGCACGCAAGUGUGAAACUCAAAGGAAUUGACGGGGGGCCCGCACAAGCGGUGGAGUAUGUGGUUUAAUUCGAUGCAACCCGAAAAACCUUACCAGGGCUUGACAUGUCCCGAAAUCUUGAUUAAAAGUCGAAAGUGCCUUUCGGGAACGCCGAACACAGGUGGGUGCAUGGCUUGCCUCCACCUCGGGUCGGGAAGAUUUUGGGUUAAAUCCCCCAAACAAGGGCAAACCCUUCUUUUUUAAUUUUCCCACCGUUUAAAUUUGGGGCACUCAGAGAGACUGCCGGUGACAAACCGGAGGAAGGUGGGGAUGACGUCAAGUCAGCAUGCCCCUUACGUCCUGGGCUACACACGUACUACAAUGCUACGGACAGAGGGCAGCAAGCUAG